rnacentral:rRNA from 1 species
GACGAACGCUGGCGGCGUGCUUAACACAUGCCAGUCGAACGGAAGGGCCCUGCUUGCAGGGUACUCGAGUGGCGAACGGGUGAGUAACACGUGGGUGAUCUGCCCUCCACUUCGGGAUAAGCCUGGGAAACUGGGUCUAAUACCGGAUAGGAGCCAUUUUUAGUGUGAUGGUUGGAAAGUUUUUUGGGUGUAGGAUGAGCGCGCGGCCUAUUAGCUUGUUGGUGGGGUAAUGGCCUACCAAGGCGGCGAAGGGUAGCCGGCCCGAGGGGGUGGACGGCCACAAUGGGGCCGGAGUACGGCCCAGGCUCCUACGGGAGGCAGCAGGGGGGAAUAUUGGACAAUGGGCGCAAGCCUGAUGCAGCGACGCCGCGUGGGGGAAGACGGCCUUCGGGUUGGAAACCCGUUUCGCUAGGGACGGAGCUUUUUGUGACGGUACCUAGAAAAGAAGCACCGGCUAACUACGUG